UACGUAGGGUGCAAGCGUUGUCCGGAAUUAUUGGGCGUAAAGAGCUCGUAGGCGGUUUGUCACGUCGGAUGUGAAACCCUGAGGCUCAACCUCAGGCCUGCAUUCGAUACGGGCAGACUAGAAUUCGGCAGGGGAGACUGGAAUUCCUGGUGUAGCGGUGAAAUGCGCAGAUAUCAGGAGGAACACCGGUGGCGAAGGCGGGUCUCUGGGCCGAUAUUGACGCUGAGGAGCGAAAGCGUGGGGGAGCAAACAGG
rnacentral:rRNA from 1 species